rnacentral:rRNA from 1 species
AGAGUUUGAUCAUGGCUCAGAUUGAACGCUGGCGGAAUGCUUUACACAUGCAAGUCGAACGGCAGCACGGGGGCAACCCUGGUGGCGAGUGGCGAACGGGUGAGUAAUACAUCGGAACGUGCCCAGUCGUGGGGGAUAACGUAGCGAAAGCUACGCUAAUACCGCAUACGAACUCUGGUUGAAAGCGGGGGAUCGCAAGACCUCGCGCGAUUGGAGCGGCCGAUGGCAGAUUAGGUAGUUGGUGGGGUAAAGGCCUACCAAGCCGACGAUCUGUAGCUGGUCUGAGAGGACGACCAGCCACACUGGGACUGAGACACGGCCCAGACUCCUACGGGAGGCAGCAGUGGGGAAUUUUGGACAAUGGGCGCAAGCCUGAUCCAGCCAUUCCGCGUGCAGGAUGAAGGCCCUCGGGUUGUAAACUGCUUUUGUACGGAACGAAAAGGCCUGAGUUAAUACCUCGGGCUCAUGACGGUACCGUAAGAAUAAGCACCGGCUAACUACGUGCCAGCAGCCGCGGUAAUACGUAGGGUGCAAGCGUUAAUCGGAAUUACUGGGCGUAAAGCGUGCGCAGGCGGUUAUGUAAGACAGGUGUGAAAUCCCCGGGCUUAACCUGGGAACUGCAUUUGUGACUGCAUAGCUAGAGUACGGUAGAGGGGGAUGGAAUUCCGCGUGUAGCAGUGAAAUGCGUAGAUAUGCGGAGGAACACCGAUGGCGAAGGCAAUCCCCUGGACCUGUACUGACGCUCAUGCACGAAAGC